GCUCGGUGGCUGAGGGGCCGUCCCGGCCGGGCGGGCUUCACCGCGUGGGCGCGGCAGUCGCCACUCACCGAGGUUGACGACCUUGAGCGCCGUGAAGAAGCGGUUCUGCCGGGCCAGGUCCUGCCAGGGAGCCUUGGAGCAGUGGCGUGGGUUCUCACUAUGUUGCUUAAGCUGGUCCAGAACUCAAGCCAGUCUCUCACUUCAGCCUCUUGAGUCGUUGGGAUUACAGAAGCCACCAUGUCCAACUAGACAAGAUCUUGUUGCCCAGGCUGGUCUCAAACUCCUGCGUUCAAAUGAUACUCUCGCCUUGGCCUCCAAAAGUGUUGGGAUUGCAGACCUGAGCUACUAUGCCUGGCUGAAUUCUAUUUCUAUUGGAUUGGUUGUAAAGAAGUGCAUUGUAGCCUGCAAAGGAGCAGGGCCAGUGGGGUGGAGAGGGCAGAAGUGCUACAGAGGCCCCUGCUCUCCACUGCCCUGACUGCUACUGUGCUGGAUGCCGUGUGAACCACAGCUGCAUCUGGAGGCCUUGGGCAGACCAUGCUUGUGAAAAUACCAGGACGGUAAAUUAGUGAAUUCCAAAGUCAGGAUUUUUGUUGGAUCUGGCACAGUCACAGGAAAGUCUGAGUUUUCUCAAGGGCAUCCCUGUCUCACCGAGGGGCACCAAGGACAGACGACCAGAAGCAAAUGGCGCAGUCACCGUCAGAGGAGAGUAAAACUCAUUCUGAAACGGUUCCAAAUGCCCAUGCCUGCUCUGUGGUUUUCAGCAAAGCGGACCUUUCCAAAAGACCUCCAACAGGGACUUCCUGGAUGUGAGAACACUAACCAAUUCUCGUUCCUCUCAUCUUUUGCUUUAUUCCUUCCUUCCAUGCUGUUAUUGCGAAAAACUGGUAGUUAAAUUCAAUUGAUUCAAAAUAUUCGGGAUCCAUAUGGCCGCCAACCCUGGAGCUGAAGCGGCGAUAGCGCCUCACUGCUGUUUUCAAGCAUUUGCCUCUCCUCCAGUCCCCAGAUGGUGGGAGUAACAUUUAAACCUCCUUUUCUCUGCCUUGUACAAUAGACCUUGGCACCAUUUCAACUGUUUACUCCGGUAAUUAACAGCUCUGAUACCACAACAAUUACAACUCCUACACUCUCACCACAAUAAUGCUAUGAAUUAGUGAGAGCUAAUGGCUGGAAGGUAGAGUGUUUCCAGACUGUGGGAUCUGUGCAUUUUUAGAAUAAAAUAAAAGGUACAAACAGCACGCUUGCAGUAGACAAUGAUUACCUAGUAAUUAGUUUACACAAAGCUUCCUAUUUAAUGGCAAAACGCUGUAAUUAACGUGUGACAGAAAAUCAAAGGGUACUUUGUAAGCAUAUUAAAAAUUAACACUGCAGGCCCAUAGCUUUAUGUACUGAUUAGAAGCAUAUUAAAUCAAUAGGACACACAAACCAACAGCUUGGGUAGCUGAUUAUUAUAGGUCCUCAGAAGGGGUACCCUGGCUUUCAUUUCACUUGGGGAGGCAAUUUUCCUUCUCCUGUCAUCUUCCUCAGGCACAGAGAAACACCUCAAACUCAACCCUGGCAGCUUCAUGAAAAUAACCACUGAACUGGAAGAAAACAUUCUAAGUCAUUCUCAGAGAUGAAGACAAAUAUGUAAAUGAUUAAGACUUUCCAAUGAUUGUGGUGACGUGCUGCUACACUAAUUAGAAAAUACACCAACUGGAACCAGAAAAUAAAGCCACUGGGUUGCAAUCUUCCGGUCAGAAUAAUCUCUACUUUGUCAAGCCUCUUUAUUCAACUCAUAGAAAGUUCAAAUAAAUGGAACUGUUUUAUAUUUCUAAAUGAUAAGAAAGCAGGCUGCUAUGAAGACUUAUUCUUUCCAAGGCACUGUCUGGGUAAAGCAUAGGCUGGGAACAACUGGAUCAACCAACAUUCUGUAUCUUCAACAGCCACAACCCCAUAUAAUGAUGGCUGAUGGACAUAGACAGCAAUAUCCUGGAAGCCUACCAGAGCCUAAAGAACCUUCUGAAUCACCAAAGAAAGAUUAAGUUGUAUGUACUUGUUCAAUGUUACCUGUAUUUUGUUAUAAUACAAUUUUAUGGUAAUAAUAACAACAAUAAUAAUAGGUAGCAUUUCUUAAAGUCUUAUUAUGUGCUAAGCACACUGCUAGCCAAUUCAUAGAAUUAUCUCAUUUACUUGUCACCACUUCCCCAUGAGACAGGUACUAAUCUCUCUUUACAGAUAGAGAAAGGGAGACUUGGAGAGCUGAAGUAAUUUGCCUAUAGUUAUCCCCCAGGGAGCAUGGGAGUCUAACCUAGGUGUCCCUGGCUAUGGAACCCCAGGAAGCCAAACUACCUCUUAGUUACCCUGAAUGACUAGCCUGUUCCAACACUCAUUCUGCUUAAAAGGCAGUUUACUAUGUCAACCUGGAAUAGGAG
ensembl:lncRNA IQCH-AS1 IQCH antisense RNA 1